AACGCACCUUGCGCUCCUUGGUAUUCCGAGGAGCAUGCCUGUUUGAGUGUCAUUAAAUUCUCAACCUUUGUUAGCUUUUGCUGAUAAUGGUUUGGAUAUGGGGGUCUAUUUUGCCGGCUUCUUCACAGAUAGUCAGCUCCCCUUAAAUGCAUUAGCCGGUGCCCAGCGUGGACUGUCUAUUGGUGUGAUAAUUAUCUACGCCAUGGAUGUCUGCAAUUAUAUGGGUUUUCACUGCUUCUAACCGUCUGUUUAUUCAGACAAUUAUAUGACAAUUUGACCUCAAAUCAGGUAGGACUACCCGCUGAACUUAA
rnacentral:misc_RNA from 1 species